GAGUUAAACUACCGAGUUCCGCACCUUAAACACUGAGUCUCGCUUUCUCACAAGCCCUCUGGCUUUGGCUACAUUUUGACCUUUCACUUUCAGCAGUUGGGGCUCUAUACAACCAGUGAUGCAGAACCUGGGGAUCCAGAAGAAUGACAGCAUCCUGGAAAUUGCCCUGCAGAAAAAUAGGAAAAUGUGAACCCUUACCUGGGGAUGAAGACAAAUGGUCCCUCUCCAGUUCUUUUAAAUGAUGCACAUCCCUCAUUUUAAUAAUAUGUUUAUAUCUCAGUGACUUUUAAUAAAUGGUGGCAUUGAAA